rnacentral:lncRNA from 1 species
AUGCCACAAAGGGCACAGCUCGCAGCAAAGCCCCUGUGGUCAGGAACCUCUUUCCCAAACCAAGCUUUUAACAGAUUUUGUCUGCAGAUGCAGGGAACUUCCUUCACACCAAAGCGGGAAGGAGAAAGGGGUUCGACACAGGAGGCCAGCCGGGCCCAGGGGCGGGAGCGGGAAGGCCACACCGAGCCCGCGGCCUGCCUCAGCACUCAGCGAGGCGCUUUGGCGCCCACGGCAGCUCCCCCCCUUCCCCCAUCAAACCUUUCCACUCAGCUCGGCCGCCGGGAAACGUGGCUGUCGCCGCAGCUCUCGGCCCGAACGUGCCCUCUGCAGAUACCCGCGGGGUCGGGCCCUGCCACAGCCCGGCGCUCCAGCGCUAAUCGCGUCCUGCACCAGGUAUAUUUCCACACAAGCACCCUGAACAAAUCAGAAACAUUCACUGGAAAUGUGCAUGAGAAGAUAUACAGACGUCUGCAGACAUGCAACUGCCACAAGACAGCCAGUAAAAUCCCUGCUCUUUAA